UGGGGAAUAUUGCACAAUGGGCGCAAGCCUGAUGCAGCCAUGCCGCGUGUGUGAAGAAGGCCUUCGGGUUGUAAAGCACUUUCAGCGGGGAGGAAGGCGUUAAGGUUAAUAACCUUGGCGAUUGACGUUACCCGCAGAAGAAGCACCGGCUAACUCCGUGCCAGCAGCCGCGGUAAUACGGAGGGUGCAAGCGUUAAUCGGAAUUACUGGGCGUAAAGCGCACGCAGGCGGUCUGUCAAGUCGGAUGUGAAAUCCCCGGGCUCAACCUGGGAACUGCAUUCGAAACUGGCAGGCUAGAGUCUUGUAGAGGGGGGUAGAAUUCCAGGUGUAGCGGUGAAAUGCGUAGAGAUCUGGAGGAAUACCGGUGGCGAAGGCGGCCCCCUGGACAAAGACUGACGCACAGGUGCGAAAGCGUGGGGAGCAAACAGG
rnacentral:rRNA from 1 species